UGAAGGGAGCUUGCUCCUGGAUUCAGCGGCGGACGGGUGAGUAAUGCCUAGGAAUCUGCCUGGUAGUGGGGGAUAACGUCCGGAAACGGGCGCUAAUACCGCAUACGUCCUGAGGGAGAAAGUGGGGGAUCUUCGGACCUCACGCUAUCAGAUGAGCCUAGGUCGGAUUAGCUAGUUGGUGGGGUAAAGGCCUACCAAGGCGACGAUCCGUAACUGGUCUGAGAGGAUGAUCAGUCACACUGGAACUGAGACACGGUCCAGACUCCUACGGGAGGCAGCAGUGGGGAAUAUUGGACAAUGGGCGAAAGCCUGAUCCAGCCAUGCCGCGUGUGUGAAGAAGGUCUUCGGAUUGUAAAGCACUUUAAGUUGGGAGGAAGGGCAGUAAGUUAAUACCUUGCUGUUUUGACGUUACCAACAGAAUAAGCACCGGCUAACUUCGUGCCAGCAGCCGCGGUAAUACGAAGGGUGCAAGCGUUAAUCGGAAUUACUGGGCGUAAAGCGCGCGUAGGUGGUUCAGCAAGUUGGAUGUGAAAUCCCCGGGCUCAACCUGGGAACUGCAUCCAAAACUACUGAGCUAGAGUACGGUAGAGGGUGGUGGAAUUUCCUGUGUAGCGGUGAAAUGCGUAGAUAUAGGAAGGAACACCAGUGGCGAAGGCGACCACCUGGACUGAUACUGACACUGAGGUGCGAAAGCGUGGGGAGCAAACAGGAUUAGAUACCCUGGUAGUCCACGCCGUAAACGAUGUCGACUAGCCGUUGGGAUCCUUGAGAUCUUAGUGGCGCAGCUAACGCGAUAAGUCGACCGCCUGGGGAGUACGGCCGCAAGGUUAAAACUCAAAUGAAUUGACGGGGCCCGCACAAGCGGUGGAGC
rnacentral:rRNA from 1 species